rnacentral:rRNA from 1 species
AGUGAACGCUGGCGGCAGGCCUAAUACAUGCAAGUCGAACGGCAGCACAGCAGAGCUUGCUCUGUGGGUGGCGAGUGGCGGACGGGUGAGGAAUACAUGGGAAUCUGCCCAGUCGUGGGGGAUAACGUAGGGAAACUUACGCUAAUACCGCAUGCGCCCUUCGGGGGAAAGCCGGGGACCUUCGGGCCUGGCGCGAUUGGAUGAGCCCAUGUCGGAUUAGCUAGUUGGUGGGGUAAAGGCCCACCAAGGCGACGAUCCGUAGCUGGUCUGAGAGGAUGAUCAGCCACACUGGAACUGAGACACGGUCCAGACUCCUACGGGAGGCAGCAGUAGGGAAUAUUGGACAAUGGGCGCAAGCCUGAUCCAGCCAUGCCGCGUGAGUGAAGAAGGCCUUCGGGUUGUAAAGCUCUUUUGUCCGGAAAGAAAAGCAUCCAGUUAAUACCUGGGUGUCCUGACGGUACCGGAAGAAUAAGCACCGGCUAACUUCGUGCCAGCAGCCGCCGCGGUAA